UGUGUGUGUGUGUGCACGCGCCCUCUAGAUUGGCACCCUGUUUAGGGUGUACCCAGCCUUGUACCCCAAAUCUUCUGGAAUAGGCUCCAGGCCCCCUGUGAUCCUGCACACAGGGAUAAAGCGAUAUAGACAACAAGCGAUGAAUCUGAGAGCAAUUAAAGGUCAACAGCCCUCUUACCAGUACGAUUUCUUUCGGGAGGUGGGAAGAAACCCGACAACUCACAAGACCCGAAGCAACAGGUCUUUGGACUGUUGGAGAAAACCGGAGAAUCCACAGAGGUGGGAAUCGAACCCAGACGGCACAAGACGAUGGUGCCAACCACUAAGCCACUGUGCUACAACACUUAUCAUACCUAAUGAUCUCUCUCUCAUCCUGAAAUACUGUAAUCUGUGUAUACUGAAAUACUUACGAUGUUGAGAGAUUCUAGUGCCAAUUCUUUGGUUGAUGCUCCAACAUCACAAAGUAAAAUUAGUACUGCUAGAUUGGUAGCACAGGUGCAGCAGUGUUAAUAAUUUAAAUUAACAGAGUCGAGGACUGACGACUUGAGGGAUAAUCCUACCGCACCACUAUCAGUUGAUGUUUAAAAGAUAUUGUGGGUAAUGUAGAAAAUUGUUAAUGAUUGUAAUUAAAUGUGACUCAAGAUUUGCAAAUGUUUCCUUUAAGCUACUGCAGGACUGUUCGCGUAGGCUGGAAUACUUCCAAUAGAUAAAUGAACGCUGCAACAUUAAUCAAAACAAUCACCAUGCAAUUUUAAAAAUAAAAUUUAUUAGCAUCUCUAAUGUGUAUAAAUAAAAACAUAUAUAAGAAACAAUGCAUAUAUGCAUUAUGAGCAGAACCAUAACUGAAUUCUGUGAUACAAAGGAGAUGAGGCAGACAAACCCCAGUCUGUUUUUUUUUCUUCCUUUUUUA